UGGAAAAAAUGGGAUUAUUUCAUGAAGAUACUUGUAUGAAAUUCUACGGCAACAGUUGAAGUUUUGGCUGCAAUCAUCGAUGUUGUAAGAUGGAAAUCAAAAGAACGGAGAAUAAAUUUGGUAUUCAACACAGAAAUAUAGAGAACUGUCUUGUGUUGGAGCUUGAUGAAUGGUAGAAUUGGCACCUGAUUCUCACCCACAAGCAGGGGAACAAAAUCUCUUGUAUAAAUGGAUG
rnacentral:lncRNA from 1 species